UCCUCCUGCCUCAGCCUCUGGAGUGCUGCUGGGAUUACAGGCGUGCGCCACCACACCUGGCAGCCCGUGUGGAGAAGGAUACAGCAGAGACCCUCACCCCCCUCCAUGCACGGUACCAGGUGGCAGAUGAUGCUGAAACACAUUACUGAUUCUUUCGAGCUGCCGCGUUCUGAUGCCAUAGUGAUGACCACAGAGAUCCAACCCUCCCGUCCUAAGACAGCGCUCAGCGAAGAUCACAUUCACAAAGCAGCAUCUAAGUGUUUAUUAAGCUCCAUCCAGGUGGCCUGCGCCAUCUGGGACUGCGCCAUUUUGAUUUGGAGAGAAUCCAAACUACAAAAAAAGAGUUCCU